CUGUGCUUUGUUGGAAUCUGGCUAUCUGCUUACAGCUAUUGAGGAAACUCAGCUUUUUAGGAGUGUUUACAGCCUUUUUCAUACCUAAAUAGGAUGAACAGUAGAUAUAAACUUGCCAAGGCAGAAAUGUGUUGAUAAAUCAAAAUGUGUAUUUGUGGAGGGUUGUGCAUCUCUUGGUUGCAGCUUGCUAAAUAGGCCAUUUAGGAAUCUUCUUUCAAUGCUUUUUUCUUGAGCACUGCCUGGGGUGGUGAAAAAGCAGAGGGCAAGCCUUUGUCUGACGCCAAAAAUGUCUUCAGUGAAGAGGCCAAGAGGAAGGCCUCCAUCUUCCAAGAAGAGCGAUGGUUCUGGGACAUAUACUAAGUUGCAGAAUACCCAGUUGAAGGAAAAGAGGAAAAGAAAGGUAGAAGGAUGAAAUCCAAGCCAAAGGACAAAGACAGCAAAAAAACAAAAACAUGUUCUAAGUUAAAAGAGAAGACAAAAAUUGG
rnacentral:sRNA from 1 species